GGUGAGCUGAUGCAUGUGAAGACAAAAGCCGGUGGAGGCUCUGGCAGGAGACAAUGGCUCCAUUGAGGAAAUAUGACAUAAGGAAUCAGCACGUCUACGGAGAACAAGCCAGAAAACAAUGAGCAUUUCAAGAGGGCACAGGAGAUGUCAUUGAGAGUGCCAGGAGCACACCAUGGGCGGGUUACGUGUCCGUGCUCCACACCUCUCCCCACUCUGCGGUUUCAGAGAUGGUGCCAAGAGAGGAAUUUCGCUGGGAUUUGUCUGAAAAGGGACACCGAGCGGGCAGACAAGUCCCCUGGGAAGGAAUGUACUUGGAAAACGCUGGCUACCUGCCAGGACCCCGGAGGCAGGAUGCACGUGGAUGGGAGCGCCAAGGAAGAAGGUCUUUGGGAGAGACCCUGCUGAGGUGGGACUUCAGGAUCAUCGUUCAAGGUGGAAGGCUGCCUGGAAUAUUUGCAGGAGCUGUUGAGGAAGACAGGCUGGUAUUUCCAUCUGAGCUCAGGGCUUGCAAAUCAAAUGGCGUGACCUUUGCAAGUUAAUCUGAGCCUUCGUGGAAUGGAUGGUUGGCGUUCUGUGGCCGUCCAGCAUCUGCUCUCCCCCGCAGCGGCCCUCCAAUUUCCUUUUGGGGAAUUAUCUGCCUUCUCCGCGUUUGGAUGGAAUUCAGGAGUCCAGAAGCCCAAGAGGUCCCUGGGGGAGGGGACGGCAUUUGGAGAAAGUACGCUUAACCCAAAGCCAACCCAAGAGUGCGCCAUCACUUUAUUUACCCAG
rnacentral:lncRNA from 1 species